rnacentral:misc_RNA from 1 species
CUGAAAUGGUGAUAAAGCAAGAGCCUUUUAAAAGGUAUGAAGAAAUAAAUUUACAACUACAAAGGAUAAAGGGAAAACGACACAAGGAGCCUCUAGUUCGUGUGACACCAAUGCAGAGAAGAGCAACGACAAAGCACCAACAGUUAGAGGUAGUAAAGGUACCAAUUCUAACCUAAGGUAUCUAAUCCUUAUGCAAAACUUGUUGUAUUAAGGGCUACAGGUGCAAUGAGAUUGGGCAUCAUUCUAAUGAAUGUCCUAAGAGGAAAUUGGUUAAUAUAGUGGAAAGGGAGCCUGUAAAUGAGGAAGAAGAAUUUUGUGGACUUGAUGGGGAUUGUGUUAAGGAAGAAUAUG